rnacentral:misc_RNA from 1 species
AACGCACAUUGCGCCCUUUGGUAUUCCGAAGGGCAUGCCUGUUCGAGCGUCAUUAUCACCCCUCAAGCCUGGCUUGGUCUUGGAUUCCAUCAUAAUAGGUGGACCCUAAAGAUAGCGACGUUGGUGGUCGGCUUCUCGGUGCAACGAGCCUUCUUUGGCACGUAUCGCAGAGGUUGACCACUGCGGUCUUAACGAUAAUUCUUUUAAGAUUGACCUCGGAUCAGGUAGGAAUACCCGCUGAACUUAA